UACGAAGGGGGCGAGCAUUGUUCGGAAUUACUGGGCGUAAAGGGUGCGUAGGCGGAUAUCAUAGUCAGGUGUGAAAGCCCAAGGCUCAACCUUGGAAUUGCAUUUGAUACUGGAUGUCUAGAAUAGUGGAGAGGAGCGUGGAAUUCCUAGUGUAGAGGUGAAAUUCGUAGAUAUUAGGAGGAACACCAGUGGCGAAGGCGGCGCUCUGGCCACAUAUUGACGCUGAGGCACGAAAGCGUGGGGAGCAAACAGGAUUAGAUACCCCAGUAGU
rnacentral:rRNA from 1 species